GAUGAAGAACGUAGCGAAAUGCGAUAAGUAAUGUGAAUUGCAGAAUUCAGUGAAUCAUCGAAUCUUUGAACGCACAUUGCGCCCGCCAGCACUCUGGCGGGCAUGCCUGUCCGAGCGUCAUUUCAACCCUCAGGGCCCCUUCGGGGGACCUGGCGUUGGGGAUCGGCCCGCCCCCGUGCGGCGCCGUCCCCGAAAUAUAGUGGCGGUCUCGCUGCAGCCUCCCCUGCGUAGUAGCACACCUCGCACUGGAGAGCGGCGCGGCCACGCCGUGAAACCCCCAACUUCUGAAUGUUGACCUCGGAUCAGGUAGGAAUACCCGCUGAACUUAAGCAUAUCAAUAAGCGGGGGA
rnacentral:misc_RNA from 1 species